rnacentral:lncRNA from 1 species
AGGUUUACCCUAGCUUUCGACCUUUCUUAUUCGUGAAUUUCAGGUACUCUGCCCUAGUGAAAAACGCAGGUCUACCUUUAUCUCUUCAUCACUCAAAAUCAGUAUUUUGUCAAAGUAAAGAUUGCAAAUUUGUUUGUUGGUGAAGCAGGUGCACCCUGGCUUUCGACCUUGCUCAUUCUGAAUCCCAAGUACUCUGCCCUAGUAAAAACGCAGUUUUGCCACCCAUUCUUCAUCUCUCAAAAUCAGUAUUUUGUCAAAGCAAGGAUUGCAAAUUUGUUUAUUGGUGAAU